GUGCGCUGCGACACCGUUAGUUCGGCUCAGGCUCCCGGCCAAGAGCGGCUCCACCCUCGCCAAGGCAGGACGCUCCAUGGCAGCACACAAGACGCCGUUCAGAACGGCACUGAAGUCCCAUUACCUGCAGGAUAAAGUCCAGCUCCCCCAGGACGUUCGGGGUCUCCGCGAUCCCACCUCCCGGCGCCCUCCCGGCCCCUCCUUUUCCUCAAAGCCACGCUGGGCGGAAGCCACGUCCCCCCGCGGUGCUCUCUCGCCCUCGAGCGCUCGUCCGCAUCAUCCAGGCUUGGCGGGGAGGCCACGUCCUGUGAAAGCCCCUCUGGUCCCUCACCAGCCCCGUCUCUCUCGUGCGCCGAGAGCACGUGGACGACGUCUUCGUUACAUGUCCCCGCGCUCGCGACCUUCCCCGUCCGUGUGCGGGAGCUUCAACCGCAGGCGCUCGGCCUCGCUCACGGGCGUCUGCACCCCGGCCUCCUUCCACUGCCUCCACUGUGCUCGCUGUGCCUACUACUCGUCAUGUAUUGGACACUUACCGCGGGCGUCACCUCGCCUUAAUCCGCCCGAGUUCGCGUCCGCUGGGUGCGUUCACUGCUUGCCGGCUGAGCAGCCUUGGGCACGUGGCUUAGACUGUUGGUGCCUCAGUGACCUUAUUUGUAAUAUGGAGUAAUAACAGUGCUGCCUCACUGGAUAGCUGAGGGUCAAGGGCGUUAUCCCACACCCAGUGUGUGACAGCCUCCUGGCCUCGAGAAGGGCCUCAAAACCAUCACCUGUUAUUUUUAUUGUUAUUGCCAUCGCUGUUGCUUGCUCCGUGCGGCGACGCUCUGCCGCAGGUGCUACCUCAGCCUUCGCGAGUCAGGCCUGACUCCGGAGCCAGUGCUCUGGCCUCCCAGGCCUGACCGCAACAUUUAAUAUUGUCUCUUAAACAACAGAAGAACAACUGUGGUGAUUUUGUUGAAUAUGGAACAAAGGAAUUAAAACAACUGGCUUAAAAUGCUUUAGAAUAGAAUGUUAGGCCCUGAGAGGACCUCCACGAUGACCAAAUCUAAGCGCUGUCCUUUACAGAUGAGGGUGUUCAGGCCUGUCCACGCAUUUAUAAGGUUGCUGAGCAGCUACUAGGUGUGACCGUUGGCCUAGGCGUGUGGGUUGGGGCGACGUCAAAAGAGCCAUGCUCAUCCCCUAAGAGGUUCUGAACAGCAGGAAAUCUCCAGGUCACCUCGCCCUGAGAGUCCCUGGGGGACUUCCAACUCGCAAAGAUGUAAAGGAACACGUUCGUGCCGUUUGAAGCCCCUAAGUGUUUGAUAGCCUUUUAUGUGCGGUAGCAGUACAAUACAUACUACAAUGACGUAAAACUUCAAACACCGCAACAGGGACAUCGCACUUAACGGGUUAGACUGUCAACAAUUCAAGCAGCAUUUAAGCUUAGUCCUCGCACCGUAAAACUUGAAAUGCCCUGAAAUCAGACAGCUCAUUUAUGACAGAAAGAUAAUAGAAGUUUUCCCUAAUUUGAUAACAUUUCUAAUACUUUAUAUAUUAUCUUUUGUGAAGCUGAAAAAAAAUUUAAGCUAUUAAGAAUAAAAUACAAAUCUUGAGACUUUCUAAUUUUGUUAUAUAAAGUCAUAGUAUAUAAUAAUUGUCAUUUGAAGAGGCAAUUAAAAAGAAUGAAGGCAAAAAUGCAGAAAAACAAUAACUAUUAGGGAGAUGUGUCAGACAAUUAAUAAAAAUAUGAUGCUAUUUUGCUGGGGUUUAUGACAAUUAUGACAUUGAUCUACUUUUUUAAUAUUUGGAUUUGCUUCUAUUUGCUCAUUCUAGGUAAAUGUGUAUUUGUUUACCUAAUUUUUAAAUCUUUUUCAAAAUUGUAUACGCUUCGGGCUCCACAAAAUCCAGCUUGUCUGUAGCAGAGACCAGGCUGCUUGCUAAACCGCCGCACGGACCGUCGCAACCCGGCAACAUCAGCGCCGGCGUCUAAACGCCAGGCGGCGGGCUCCCCCGCGGGCGGUGCCGGGCUGCCCUCCGCGACCAGGCCGCUCUCGGUCACAGGGCGGCCUUCUCAAGUGCGGUCCCUGGGCUCGGGUCAGCCCUGCCCAACGGAACCUGCGGGUUGGAUCCCCACAGCCCUAGCAGCGCAGGCUCCCGGGCGACUCCGGUGCGCACGAGUUCGAGCCCGCCCCGGGAAAAGCCUGGCGCGGGCGCUGCGCGCUCCCCGCGGCCUCCGGCCCGUAUCGGAGCGCAGCGCUGGGGCGCUCGGGCCGCUCUCACGGGCCCCGCGCUCCCCGGGACGCGCGCCUCCCAGCGCUCGCAGGGGACAGAGCACCGCGCCCAGCCGCAACCGUCGGCGCGCGGCGGAGGACCGUCGCUCCGCUCCGAGCCCGUCGCCGCAGUGGCGUGUGGGGCGCAGCCAGCCCCGCCGGCGAGCCCCGGAUCGCCAGUCUUCCCAGCGGCAACUUUGACGGCAAGACGCCAUCUUGUGGACGAGUUGGGCACUGCAUGAGAUGACAAGUGUAGUGGACAAGGGGGCCCCAUCCAAGCCAUCACCCCUCCCUUCUGAGUCUGCCUUUCGCGACAGUGACCGAGGUAGGGAGUCCACAGUCCUGCUGCUCACAGCUGCCUGGAGUCACUCAACAGCCCGCCGCGCCCUCCCCCGGUCUCUGCUUCACCCACAGGGCCGUCAUUCUGAAGUUGAUGAACAGACAUGGCCCUUGGAUUUAAUUAAGUGGGAAAACCACAUCUUUACCACGUGAGGAGCUGAGACGCAACAGAGUAAAAGACCAGCAGCAUCAGCAUGUCCCAGGAGCUUGUUAGAAACGCAGACCAGGCCAACGCCCACGGAGUCCGCCUUUUUCACCUGGAACACAGUGCCUCGGGUUCACGCCCGUUUGUGUGCACACUGUCUGCGACUGCUUCUGAGCCACGGAGACAGGCGAGUGCUGAAUGGCACUGAUCUGUUCUUGAGGGAUCCACCCCCAGGACCCAAACACCUCCCAUCAGGCUCCACCUCCAACACUGGGAUCAAAUUUCAACAUGAGGUUUGGAGGCAGCAAACUUGGGAGCACAGCAUGCAUGUAAAUAUUUGCAGAAAUCUCUUGAAAAGGCAGAGGCAGCAAAGAGGACAUGACAUGCACUAACACUCUCUGAAGUCCCUCACACUUCUGUCUCCCACAUUCCACACCAACUUCUUUUCUGCCACAAACUCCUCCUAACCUCUUCCCUACUCCCACUGUGGCCUGUUCCUCAGCCAGAGGAUCUUGCCUGUCUUUCAGUGGGUGAGAACUCCAUGCCCCCUUCUGCCCCCUUCUUACCGUAGUGUCAGGUGGGAUUCCUCCUUCUGUUCCCUUCUGCUGUGUGAUGAUCAGAGACAGCAGGGGGCAGCACAGGACAAGAGGGCAGGGGUGAAGCUGGUGACAACAUGCACUUUCAAUCCUCCCCCUAGUGAGACAGAGGGCAGGGGUGUAAAGGAGCUGGGGGGUGCAGAAGGUCACUGUAAUGCUCACGCAGGGCUGCACUAGGGUGGUGGGAGGAUGACAGAAAGGAGGAAACGGCCGGGUGUGGUGGGCACCUGCAGUCCCAGCUAAUCAGGAGGCCAAGGUGGGAGAAUCGCUAGAGCCCAGGCGGUGGAGGCUGUAGUGAGCUAUGCUAAUGCCACUGCACUGACAUUUGAGGCAGGAUUUAUUAACAGAACUGAGCUCUUCAAGAACAACGGUCAACAGCGUUGGUUAACUUCGUAUCCCAAGCCCAUCAGAGUGACCUCAAAUGUGUGUUGAGUGGCUACACGAAUGGAUGCACACGUGCAUGAACAAUGGUGGGCUGUGAGGAGGAAGGAGAGCCAAGGACGGUGAAUCGUGAGUGUUUCUGGGCCCCUAACACACGUGUCUUCCCCUUCCCCACCCCAAUCCUACGGGAGUUCUCGCUGGCCCCUCCUGCCUCCGGGUUCCCCAUUUACUGCACCCUCUGCCUGGCAAUGGUUCCCCACCUCCGCCUCACAUCUGUGUUUAGGGAAGUUGCCUAACCUACUGAAAAGGGAGAGCGCACAACUGCAGGUGCUGCAAAGAGUCCAGAACCCAGAACAGGUACCUUAGGCGUGGGGAGCAGUGCUUACUAUAUUGCCACAGAGUCAUGGGGCAGAACUCCUGGCACGUCCCGCAGGGAUGCGAGUCCUCGACCUCUAGGGCAUGGGAGAUGUUUCCUCCUCAAUGAACUAUAACCCCUGCCACUCCCUGAGGGUGUCCCCUGAGAAUAUCCAGGUAGGUCCUUGUCCCCUCUAUUCUCAUGUUCCCAUGUUCAUGUUUGUUGCCAAUCCGUGUCCGUGUGUCCCGUUCACAGGCUCAGAUACGGAUGUAAUGAGCCACCUUUCUUCCCUGUGUGAACAGGUGCAGCAAUCAAAAGACGAGACCACGAACUGCUCAGAAAACAGUGGGCUUCCAGGGCAACCACAGGUCGCUUUCUGUCAGGCUAUGUUGUUUUUAAAACUUCAGAUUGUUGUCUCUUUUAUUUUAACUUCUAAUAAAAUGUUCUGCUCUAUUCUUGUAACUCA